UUUCUUAAAGUACUUCAGGGAUUCUGCACAAGUACAACUAAUUUGCCGGAAUUUCAAAGGAGAAGUUACUCUACAUCUCCUCAAGAUCAAAUCAUCCCUAUAAACUAUAAAAACACCAUGUUCCAAACCAGUCACAAAGAUGCAGCGCUGUGUGCCCAUCUGGCCAAACUACAAUGGCUCGUUGGCUUAAAGCUUAUGGCUCUGUUACAAAGGACAUGACAUGAGCAGCCAAAUUUGUGCUAAAGACUUCUCGUGACCGCCCUAAUUCCCAGUGUUUCUCAGGUUUUAGAACUAGCACUUGAGCAGGGCAGAGCCAAGAAGACCAGAAAAAUCUCAUCACAAGAUAGAUAAGAUGUGGUAAGCCAUGGCAAGGCAACAUAUUCUCAAUGCGUCGAAGAAGUAUAAAAAAACACUUUUUUAAGAACAAGCAUCGCUGUCCCAACUGGUCCCCAGCGAGAAUCGACUAGAAGAAUCAAGACAUAAGCUAAGAACUCAUUCAGAUGGAAUAAACUUGUGAUUUUGCCCCCAUUCAAGCCACAAAACGCGCAGAAGCCAACUCUAUCAAAUGACCUCUACUGAUAAAAACCCCUCAGUUUGGACAUGGAAGCCGAGGACACUUCACUUCUCCUAUGCAAUUCUUCAUCAUCUUUGGCCACUGAAAAAUAGACUAAGAACAGAGACAAUGAAAGAAUCGCACGCAUCAAUAGCAGAAAUUGAGGAACUCAAUGCGUCCAAAAUGUAUAAAAACACUAUCUCUAAGAACAAGCAUUACCGUCCCAAUCAGUCCGAAUCCUAGACCAGGCUAAAAUCAACUAGAAGAAUUAAGAUAUAAGCCAAGAACUCAUUCAGCCGGAACAAAGUUGUGAUUUUGCCCCAGUUAAGCCGCAAAACGGGAGAACCCAGCUCCAUCAAACGAUCUCUGCUGCUAAAAACCCCUCAUUUCGGACAUGGAAGCUGAGGAAACCUCACUUCUCCAAUGCAAAUUCUUCAUCAUCUUCCACCACGAAGAAUUAGACAAAGGACGGCGACGAGAAAAAGAAUCACACGCAUCGAUAGCAGCAGCAGAAAUUGAGGAAACUAAACGAAGCACACGCCACCCAAAAAAUAAAAAGGGAACAAGGCGGAGGGCCAAGAGAAAGACGGGGAACUCACGGAAGGGUUGGAGGGAUCGGAGGGCCUGAAAUGGCUGAAGUUGUGAGGAUCGAACGACGGCAAGUCGCCCAGGAUAGAACCCAUGAAAGAGUGAAUGCAGAACCUCUGCACAGUGCUCCCCCCUCGAAUCCAGAGAGAGAGAGAGACGAUGGCCUCAAAUUCUAGAAACAGCCUCGCUGCUGGUGCUGGAGUUGCCUGGAAACAGGACGGUCGUGUCUGACCUUACGACGGAAGCUCAUUAAUACUCCCCCGACACGAGACGCUCCGAAGUAUAGACACAAAUCUAUGGACGAAGAAAUAAUCCGUCGUGAAAACAUGAAGCCUUAAUGCCACCGAAAACUCCAAAUCCGUGUUCCUCAACUUCCUUUGGAUCUUUUGUAUUUGGUUAAGAAGUAACCUCACCGACAAAAGCGGAACUUGCACUCUUAGGAGGACUUC
rnacentral:lncRNA from 1 species